rnacentral:rRNA from 1 species
CCUUACGGCCACACCUCCCUGAGCACGCCCGAUCUCGUCUGAUCUCGGAAGCUAAGCAGGGUCGGCCCGGUUAGUACUUGGAUGGGAGACCGCCUGGGAAUACAGGUGCUGUAAGCC